rnacentral:rRNA from 1 species
GUAGGGAAUCUUGCGCAAUGGGCGAAAGCCUGACGCAGCCAUGCCGCGUGAAUGAUGAAGGUCUUAGGAUUGUAAAAUUCUUUCACCGGGGACGAUAAUGACGGUACCCGGAGAAGAAGCCCCGGCUAACUUCGUGCCAGCAGCCGCGGUAAUACGAAGGGGGCUAGCGUUGCUCGGAAUUACUGGGCGUAAAGGGAGCGUAGGCGGAUAGUUUAGUCAGAGGUGAAAGCCCAGGGCUCAACCUUGGAAUUGCCUUUGAUACUGGCUAUCUUGAGUAUGGAAGAGGUAUGUGGAACUCCGAGUGUAGAGGUGAAAUUCGUAGAUAUUAGGAAGAACACCAGUGGCGAAGGCGGCUCACUGGUCCGGUACUGACGCUGAGGUGCGAAAGCGUGGGGAGCAAACAGGAUUAGAUACCCGUGUAGUCC